AACGAACGCUGGCGGCACGUUUUAAGCAUGCAAGUCGAAUGGCAGUGGGGGCUACCCCAUGAGAAUGGCGAACGGGUGAGUAACACGUAGGUGAUCUGCCUGACGGAUGGGGAUAGCUUGUGGAAACACAGGGUAAUACCGAAUGAGCUGACGAGACUUUGGUUUUGUUAGUAAAGGUGCUACGGCACCGCCGACAGAGGAGCCUGCGGCUGAUUAGCUAGUUGGUGGGGUAAAGGCCUACCAAGGCGACGAUCAGUAGCCGGCCUGAGAGGGUGUACGGCCACACUGGAACUGAGACACGGUCCAGACUCCUACGGGAGGCAGCAGCUAAGAAUCUUCCGCAAUGGGCGAAAGCCUGACGGAGCGAUGCCGCGUGAUCGAUGUAGGUCGAGAGAUUGUAAAGAUCUUUUCUACAUGAGGAAUAAGUCUGGGAGGGAAUGCCUGGAUGAUGACGUUAGUGUAGGAAUAAGCCCCGGCUAAUUACGUGCCAGCCGCCGCAGUAA
rnacentral:rRNA from 1 species